AUUGAACGCUGGCGGCAUGCCUUACACAUGCAAGUCGAACGGUAACAGGUCUUCGGAUGCUGACGAGUGGCGAACGGGUGAGUAAUACAUCGGAACGUGCCUAGUAGUGGGGGAUAACUACUCGAAAGAGUGGCUAAUACCGCAUGAGAUCUACGGAUGAAAGCAGGGGAUCGCAAGACCUUGUGCUACUAGAGCGGCCGAUGGCAGAUUAGGUAGUUGGUGGGAUAAAAGCUUACCAAGCCGACGAUCUGUAGCUGGUCUGAGAGGAGGAUCAGCCAAACUGGGGCUGGGACAAGGCCCAGACUCCAACGGGGGUCAGGAGUGGGGAAUUUUGGACAAUGGGCGCAAGCCUGAUCCAGCAAUGCCGCGUGCAGGAUGGAGGCCUUCGGGUUUUAAACUGCUUUUGUACGGAACGAAAAGCCCCGGGUUAAUACCCUGGAGUCAUGACGGUACCGUAAGAAUAAGCACCGGCUAACUACGUGCCAGCCGCCGCGGUAA
rnacentral:rRNA from 1 species